rnacentral:rRNA from 1 species
CAAAGCACUGCGAUGGUCCCAACGGAUGUUUACACAACGUGAAUUUUGUCUAGUGCUAUGAAUGUCCAAGUGAAGAAAUUCAACCAUGCGGGGGUAAACGGUCGGAGUAACUAUGACUCUUUUAAGGUAGCCAAAUGCCUCUUCAUCUAAUUAGUGAUUCGUAUGAAUGUAUUAA